GGAGAGAUGGCUCAGUGGUUAAGAGCACUGGCUUCUCUUUCAGAGAACCAGGGUUCAAUUCCCAGCAUCUACA
rfam:Cricetulus griseus cell line CHO-K1, whole genome shotgun sequence.